UUAUCCGUGAGGAUUGGUCUGAAGGAAGCCGCUAGCAAAUUUGCGAGCUGAUGAACAAAAACAUCAUAUGAGGCGUAGGCUAGAGGUGAGUUGGCACAAGACGACGAAACCACGUGAUCUAAUGGCCACCGUAAAUGAUGCAGCAGUGCAAAGAAAGUGCAUGCU
rfam:Colwellia sp. MT41, complete genome.